rnacentral:rRNA from 1 species
CGAGCACGCGCGUGUGGCAUAUCAAUAAGCGGAGGAAAAGAAACUAACGAGGAUUCCCUUAGUAACGGCGAGUGAAGCGGGAAGAGCUCAAAUUUGAAAUCUUCAAGGUUCUACCUUGACGAAUUGUAGUUUAUAGAAGUGUUUUCUGUUAGUGGAGUGACAAAAGUUCUUUGGAAUAGGACAUCAUAGAGGGUGAGAAUCCCGUAUUUGGUCAUUCCUCCUAGCGUUGUGAUACACUUUCAACGAGUCGGAUUGUUUGGGAAUGCAGUCCAAAAUGGGUGGUAAAUUUCAUCUAAAGCUAAAUAUUGGCGAGAGACCGAUAGCGAACAAGUACCGUGAGGGAAAGAUGAAAAGAACUUUGAAAAGAGAGUAAAACAGUACGUGAAAUUGUCAAAAGGGAAGCGUUUGACACCAGUGUUGUUUAAUUGAAAAUCAAUUCAAUAGUUUUUGAUUCUAAGUAGUAUUGACUUCAUCAGCUUGCUGCUUUCUUCUCAGAAAUUAUUGAAUGCACUUUUCAGUUAACAAGUCAACAUCAAUUUCUUUUGUUGUAAAAGGGUAUGAGGAAGGUGGCUUUCUUUUCGGAGAAAGUGUUUAUAGCCUUGUACCUCUGCAAUCGGAGAGAUUGAGGUCUGCAGCGUAGAUCCUUCGGGGUUAGAUACAUUUGUGCUAAGUUAUAGCUUUUCAUAGACAACUUGUUGACUAUGUUAAGUCUUGUAGCUUACUCGCUUAUGCUAUUUUACCUACGCUUAGGAUUGUUGAACUCUAUCACACACA